rnacentral:lncRNA from 1 species
AUAGCAUGAGAGCCACUGGCAGAGUCGAUGGUCAGGCCAGGAUGGAAAUUCCAGUCCCUCUGGUACCACGUGGAUGCUCUAGGGAGAGUAGGGGUCUGAGACCCGCCAGAGGAUGAGGGACUCACAUAUGGACCAGCAGAAGGAGGUGCAGGGGAUGAGCGUGAAUUUCCACCAGCAGGGGAUGAGCGUGAAUUUCCACCAGCAGUGGGAUGAGCGUGAAUUUCCACCAGCAGGGGAUGAGCGUGAAUUUCCACCAGCAGCCAGUGAGCGUGAAUUUCCACCAGCAGGGGAUGAGCGUGAAUUUCCACCAGCAGGGGAUGAGCGUGAAUUUCCACCAGCAGUGGGUGAGCAUGAGUUUCCACCAGCAGGGGAUGAGCGUGAAUUUCCACCAGCAGGGGAUGAGCGUGAAUUUCCACCAGCAGUGGGUGAGCAUGAGUUUCCACCAGCAGUGGGUGAGCAUGAGUUUCCACCAGCAGCCGAUGAGCGUGAGUUUCCACCAGCAGGGGAUGAGCGUGAAUUUCCACCAGCAGUGGGUGAGCGCUCCUGCUGCUCCACAUCCUCCCCAGCAUCUGGUGUGGUCAGUGUUCCCAUUUCAGCUUUUCUAGUGGGCUUGCAGUGA